rnacentral:tRNA from 1 species
CAGAAAAUAGUUUAAUUUAAAAUGUUAAUUUUGGAGAUUAAUGAUAAAUUUUUAAUAUUUUUUUCUGA